GUGCUCGCUUCGGCAGCACAGAUACUAAAAUUGGAAUGAUGCAGAGAAGAUUAGCAUGGCCCCUGCACAAGGAUGACACACAAAUUCGUGAAGCGUUCCAUAAAAAG
ensembl:snRNA U6 U6 spliceosomal RNA